UACGUAGGGGGCGAGCGUUGUCCGGAUUUAUUGGGCGUAAAGAGCUCGUAGGUGGUUUGUCGCGUUGUUCGUGAAAACUCACAGCUCAACUGUGGGCGUGCGGGCGAUACGGGCAGACUGGAGUACUGCAGGGGAGACUGGAAUUCCUGGUGUAGCGGUGGAAUGCGCAGAUAUCAGGAGGAACACCGGUGGCGAAGGCGGGUCUCUGGGCAGUAACUGACGCUGAGGAGCGAAAGCGUGGGGAGCGAACAGG
rnacentral:rRNA from 1 species